rnacentral:rRNA from 1 species
CCGGUUUAAACUCAGAUCAUGUAAAAUUUUAAAGGUCGAACAGACCUAAAAUUUUAGCUGCUACACCAAAACUUAAUUUUAAUCCAACAUCGAGGUCGCAAACUUCUUUUUCGAUUAGGACUCUUUAAAGAAAUUACGCUGUUAUCCCUAAGGUAAUUUAAUCUUGUAAUCAUAAUAAUGGAUCAAUAAAUCAUACAUUAAUGUUUUUAUAAAAAAAAAGUUUAAUAAAUUUUUCUAUCACCCCAAUAAAAUAUAAAUCUCUUAAAUAAAAAUAAAAUACCUAAAGGUUAAAUUAAAAAUUUAUAUAAAAUUCUAUAGGGUCUUCUCGUCUUUUAAAAUUAUUUAAGCUUUUUAACUUAAAGAUAAAGUUUUAAUUAAUUUAAAUAGAGACAGUUAUUUUCUCGUCCAACCGUUCAUUCCAGCUUUCAAUUAAAAAACUAAUUAUUAUGCUACCUUUGUACGGUCAAAAUACCGCAGCCAUUCAAAAAAUCAUUGGGCAGGUCAGACUUUAUAUUAUUAUCAAAAAGACAUGUUUUUAAUAA